UACGUAGGGGGCAAGCGUUGUCCGGAAUCAUUGGGCGUAAAGAGCUCGUAGGCGGCUUAGUAAGUCGGGUGUGAAAACCCCAGGCUCAACCUGGGGACGCCACCCGAUACUGCCAUAGCUAGAGUCCAGUAGGGGAGUGUGGAAUUCCCAGUGUAGCGGUGAAAUGCGCAGAUAUUGGGAGGAACACCAGCGGCGAAGGCGGCACUCUGGGCUGGUACUGACGCUGAGGAGCGAAAGCGUGGGUAGCGAACAGG
rnacentral:rRNA from 1 species